GCUGAGCUUUGGUGCCGUGAUUGAGAUCUCCAGCCUCCGGGAAGUCAUCAAAGAUGCCAUUGCUUCCGUGCUCCCCAAAGUGGAAAGAGUGUUUGUUUACCUUCUGGAUGGGGAAGCUUGUCUGACAUGCAGCGACCCACCGCAUGACUUUCCGCAGGAGGGUCGGCUCAGAAAUGCUGUCUCCAGCAG